ensembl:snoRNA SNORA70 Small nucleolar RNA SNORA70
CUGCAGCCAAUUAAGCUGACCGUGUCCUUUUCCCCAUGGGGGUCUGGUGUGCAGUGGCUGCAAACAGCAGCCUCCCUGGCAGUGUAUGCAGCCUGUUGCUUGUAUGGGUUUCCCUAAGGGACCUUGGAGACAGCC